rnacentral:rRNA from 1 species
CAGUAGCCGCGGGAACACGUAGGUGGCAAGCGUUGUCCGGAAUUAUUGGGCGUAAAGGGCUCGCAGGCGGUUUCUUAAGUCUGAUGUGAAAGCCCCCGGCUCAACCGGGGAGGGUCAUUGGAAACUGGGAAACUUGAGUGCAGAAGAGGAGAGUGGAAUUCCACAUGUAGCGGUGAAAUGCGUAGAGAUGUGGAGGAACACCAGUGGCGAAGGCGACUCUCUGGUCUGUAACUGACGCUGAGGAGCGAAAGCGUGGGGAGCGAACAGGAUUAGAUACCCCUGUAGUCCCUGUCUCUUAUAC